rnacentral:rRNA from 1 species
CCGGGUGGACAGGGAGGACAGGUGGGUGGCGAUGGUUGUCGUCAGCUCGUGUCGUGAGAUGUUGGGUUAAGUCCCGCAACGAGCGCAACCCCUAUUGUUAGUUGCCAUCAUUCAGUUGGGCACUCUAGCGAGACUGCCGGUAAUAAACCGGAGGAAGGUGGGGAUGACGUCAAAUCAUCAUGCCCCUUAUGGCCUGGGCUACAAACGUAAUACAAUGGCGUAUACAAAGGGAUGCGAAAGGGCGACCUGGAGCAAAACUCACAAAGUACGUCUCAGUUCAGAUUGGAGUCUGCAACUCGACUCCAUGAAGGCGGAAUCGCUAGUAAUCGCGGAUCAGCAUGCCGCGGUGAAUACGUUCUCGGGGUUU